CAUUCAAAGUAUAGGAGGUCCUACCUGCCCAGUGACAAGUUAAACGGCCGCGGUAUUUUGACCGUGCAAAGGUAGCGCAAUCACUUGUCUUUUAAAUGAAGACCCGUAUGAAUGGUGAAACGAGGGCUUAACUGUCUCCCCUUUCAAGUCAAUGAAAUUGAUCUGCCCGUGCAGAAGCGGACAUAUAAAUACAAGACGAGAAGACCCUUUGGAGCUUAAGAUAUAAGACCAACUAUGUCAAUGCACCAAAAAUAAAACUAAACUAAAUAGUACCUGGUCCGUAUCUUCGGUUGGGGCGACCACGGAAGAAAAUAAAGCUUCCAUGCGGACUGGGGUUAUAAACCCUAAAACCAAGAAAGACAUUUCUAAGUAACAGAAUAUCUGACCAUUAAGAUCCGGCAAUCAUUAAAGCCGAUCAACGAACCAAGUUACCCUAGGGAUAACAGCGCAAUCCUCUUUAAGAGUCCAUAUCGACAAGGGGGUUUACGACCUCGAUGUUGGAUCAGGACAUCCUAAUGGUGCAGCUGCUAUUAAGGGUUCGUUUGUUCAACGAUUAAAGUCCU
rnacentral:rRNA from 1 species